rnacentral:rRNA from 1 species
UACGAAGGGUGCAAGCGUUACUCGGAAUUACUGGGCGUAAAGCGUGCGUAGGUGGUUUGUUAAGUCUGAUGUGAAAGCCCUGGGCUCAACCCGGGAACGGCAUUGGAAACUGGCUUACUAGAGUGCGGUAGAGGGGUGUGGAAUUCCCGGUGUAGCAGUGAAAUGCGUAGAUAUCGGGAGGAACAUCUGUGGCGAAGGCGACACCCUGGACCAGCACUGACGCUGAGGCACGAAAGCGUGGGGAGCAAACAGG